CGCUAGCUACAGGCUUAACACAUGCAAGUCGAGGGGCAUCAGGAAGAAAGCUUGCUUUCUUUGCUGGCGACCGGCGCACGGGUGAGUAACACGUAUCCAACCUGCCCUUUACUCGGGGAUAGCCUUUCGAAAGAAAGAUUAAUACCCGAUAGCAUAAUGAUUCCGCAUGGUUUCAUUAUUAAAGGAUUCCGGUAAAGGAUGGGGAUGCGUUCCAUUAGGUUGUUGGUGAGGUAACGGCCCACCAAGCCUUCGAUGGAUAGGGGUUCUGAGAGGAAGGUCCCCCACAUUGGAACUGAGACACGGUCCAAACUCCUACGGGAGGCAGCAGUGAGGAAUAUUGGUCAAUGGGCGCUAGCCUGAACCAGCCAAGUAGCGUGAAGGAUGAAGGCUCUAUGGGUCGUAAACUUCUUUUAUAUAAGAAUAAAGUGCAGUAUGUAUACUGUUUUGUAUGUAUUAUAUGAAUAAGGAUCGGCUAACUCCGUGCCAGCAGCCGCGGUAAUACGGAGGAUCCGAGCGUUAUCCGGAUUUAUUGGGUUUAAAGGGAGCGUAGGUGGACUGGUAAGUCAGUUGUGAAAGUUUGCGGCUCAACCGUAAAAUUGCAGUUGAUACUGUCAGUCUUGAGUACAGUAGAGGUGGGCGGAAUUCGUGGUGUAGCGGUGAAAUGCUUAGAUAUCACGAAGAACUCCGAUUGCGAAGGCAGCUCACUGGACUGCAACUGACACUGAUGCUCGAAAGUGUGGGUAUCAAACAGGAUUAGAUACCCUGGUAGUCCACACAGUAAACGAUGAAUACUCGCUGUUUGCGAUAUACAGUAAGCGGCCAAGCGAAAGCAUUAAGUAUUCCACCUGGGGAGUACGCCGGCAACGGUGAAACUCAAAGGAAUUGACGGGGGCCCGCACAAGCGGAGGGACAUGUGGUUUAAUUCGAUGAUACGCGAGGAACCUUACCCGGGCUUAAAUUGCAGUGGAAUGAUGUGGAAACAUGUCAGUGAGCAAUCACCGCUGUGAAGGUGCUGCAUGGUUGUCGUCAGCUCGUGCCGUGAGGUGUCGGCUUAAGUGCCAUAACGAGCGCAACCCUUAUCUUUAGUUACUAACAGGUUAUGCUGAGGACUCUAGAGAGACUGCCGUCGUAAGAUGUGAGGAAGGUGGGGAUGACGUCAAAUCAGCACGGCCCUUACGUCCGGGGCUACACACGUGUUACAAUGGGGGGUACAGAAGGCAGCUAGCGGGUGACCGUAUGCUAAUCCCAAAAUCCUCUCUCAGUUCGGAUCGAAGUCUGCAACCCGACUUCGUGAAGCUGGAUUCGCUAGUAAUCGCGCAUCAGCCACGGCGCGGUGAAUACGUUCCCGGGCCUUGUACACACCGCCCGUCAAGCCAUGGGAGCCGGGGGUACCUGAAGUACGUAACCGCAAGGAUCGUCCUAGGGUAAAACUGGUGACUGGGGCUA
rnacentral:rRNA from 1 species